rnacentral:rRNA from 1 species
GACGAACGCUGGCGGCGUGCUUAACACAUGCAAGUCGAACGGAAAGGCCCUUCGGGGUACUCGAGUGGCGAACGGGUGAGUAACACGUGGGUGAUCUGCCCUGCACUUUGGGAUAAGCCUGGGAAACUGGGUCUAAUACCGAAUAGGACCACGCGCUUCAUGGUGUGUGGUGGAAAGCUUUUGCGGUGUGGGAUGGGCCCGCGGCCUAUCAGCUUGUUGGUGGGGUAAUGGCCUACCAAGGCGACGACGGGUAGCCGGCCUGAGAGGGUGACCGGCCACACUGGGACUGAGAUACGGCCUAGACUCCUACGGGAGGCAGCAGUGGGGAAUAUUGCACAAUGGGCGCAAGCCUGAUGCAGCGACGCCGCGUGAGGGAUGACGGCCUUCGGGUUGUAAACCUCUUUCAAUAGGGACGAAGCGCAAGUGACGGUACCUAUAGAAGAAGCACCGGCCAACUACGUG